rnacentral:lncRNA from 1 species
GCCGCUUCUGCCCUAUGCAGCGUGUGUGUGCGUAAAAGAUACACCUCAGGGAAACUAUAAAACAAAAAGUCAUUUAUCAGAGUUAAAAUUAUUAAAGUGUUGCAGCAGCAGUAGUGGCAUUUGAAAGGUAAACCCACUAUUUCCGAAUCCAAAUUGACAACAUAGCAUGUAGGAUCCCUUCCCAGCAGAUGUAGCGCUAAUCCCCGUCAUCCUUGACCAAAGAGAUUUACCCUAUAUUUUAAUUGGUGUAGUCCUACUUGUACAGUUUAUCAAGAUUACGUUUUUACUUUAUGUAUAUAUUUUUAAUUAUUAUCCUCAUCUUUAUCAUCCCAUAUUUAUUCAAUUAUUCUUUCCUGUGUGAAAAUAAUAAUAAUCACUUAGUUAAUAGCAACACCUUCUUUAGUUUUUAUUUUGUUUUUUGUCUUCCUAGGACCACAGUAAUGAUAAUCUAAUGCAAUUGGACUAAAGAAGGUGUUGCUAUUAACUAAGUGAUUAUUAUUAUUUUCACACAGGAAAGAAUAAUUGAAUAAAUAUGGGAUGAUAAAGAUGAGGAUAAUAAUUAAAAAUAUAUACAUAAAGUAAAAACGUAAUCUUGAUAAACUGUACAAGUAGGACUACACCAAUUAAAAUAUAGGGUAAAUCUCUUUGGUCAAGGAUGACGGGGAUUAGCGCUACAUCUGCUGGGAAGGGAUCCUACAUGCUAUGUUGUCAAUUUGGAUUCGGAAGUAGUGGGUUUACCUUUCAAAUGCCACUACUGCUGCUGCAACACUUUAAUCAUUUUAACUCUGAUAAAUGACUUUUUGUUUUAUAGUUUCCCUGAGGUGUAUCUUUUACGCACACACACGCUGCAUAGGGCAGAAGCGGCUGAAGACUCUGUCUCCAUCCCUCCACCUUGCGAUCUAUACCACCAUAUAGGUGGGGAUUGAUCGUAUCCCAGGUACGGCAUCCUGCAGCGAGCCAGUAUGGAAGGCUGGUUAGCCAACGACGGGUAAGAUCCCACCUUGACACCCGGGACGACCUAAGGCAGGCACAGUCACGAUUACUUGGCAAAGUCGCUGUGGGCACUGGCUUACUUGAUCAUGAAGUCACAAGCUGC